CUUUUCUUAAUAGUGGAAAACCGGCUUAUGAUUAAUAUGCUAACUAUCCUCAUUAUGACGUCACAUUGCAUAACAACUUCCCCCCCCCCAAAAAAAAAAAAACCCAAAAAAACCCCUGCAACCAUGCAACCUUGUGUUUUGUCAACAUGUUAUAAAUAUAUACUAUAUGUCAACUGAUUCGAAUCAGUUAUCUUGAAGAGUUAUAAUUCAAAUUUCACAAAGCCUUAAGGCGGAUUUCCA